UUUUAGUUUGAACCCCCGAAACUAAGCGAGCUACUUCGAAAUNGUUUUAUGAACAGACCCGUCUCUGUCGCAAUAGAGUGGGACGAUUUCCAAGUAGCGGCGACAAACCUACCGCGCUUAAAGAUAGCUGGUUACUCAAGAACAGAAUAUAAGUUCAACCUUAAGCUUCCCAAUUAAAUAAGAAGACCNNAAAACUUAAGAGCUAUUCAAAUAAGGCACAGCUUAUUUGAAGCAGGCUACAACCUCUANGACCGGGUAAAACAUAUGAACANAUAACAAGUGGGCCUAAAAGCAGCCACCUUNCAAAAAGCGUUAAAGCUUAAUUUUCUUCUAUUUUAAUACCUCUAUACACCUUCAACCCACCCCCAGUAUUGAGUAACUCCAUACCCCUAUGGAAAAUAUUAUGCUAGAACUAGUAACAAGAAAACCUUCUCCAAAAUGUAAGCCUAAGCCACAAUAGACAACCUACUGGCAGUUAACGUAAAUGAUUAUCUUAUAGCACCUUAAACAAGAACACCCUAUAAACUUUAACGUUAACCUUACACUAGCACAUUAACGGAAAGAUUAAAAGAAAAAGAAGGAACUCGGCAAAACUUUACCCCGCCUGUUUACCAAAAACAUGGGCUCUUGACAAAAUAUAAGAGGUCCAGCCUGCCCAGUGACUCGAUUUAACGGCCGCAGUACCCUAACCGCGCAAAGGUAGCAUAAUCACUUGUNCNUUAAAUAUGGACCUUUAUCAACGGCAUCACGAGGGUUCCNCUGUCUCCUNUUUCUAAUCAGUGAAACUGAUCUCCCCGUGAANAAGCGGGGAUAAACCCAUAAGACGAGAAGGACCCAUGGAGCUUUAAACCAGCUAUACCCCCCCCCCNUUUUUANANNCCCUUUNNAUUUGCGNUAUAUGCUCGGUUUUAGGUUGGGGCGACCNCGGAGCAUAAAAAAACCUCCAUGAUGCACGAGCCUACCCUCUUACCUAAGAAGUACACUUCUANGAAUUAGCACACUAACAUACUAUGAUCCAGUAACUGAUCAACGAACUAAGUUACCCUGGGGAUAACAGCGCAAUCCAUUUCAAGAGCUCCUAUCGACAAAUGGGUUUACGACCUCGAUGUUGGAUCAGGGUAUCCUACUGGUGCAGCA
rnacentral:rRNA from 1 species